rnacentral:rRNA from 1 species
GGCCUACCAUGGUGGUAACGGGUAACGGGGUGUUAGGGCACGACACCGGAGAGGGAGCCUGAGAAACGGCUACCACAUCCAAGGAUGGCAGCAGGCGCGCAAAUUACCCAAUCCCGACACGGGGAGGUAGUGACAAUAAAUAACAAUACGGGGUUCUUUCGGAUCUCGUAAUUGGAAUGAGUACAAUUUAAAUCUCUUAACGAGGAACAAUUGGAGGGCAAGUCUGGUGCCAGCAGCCGCGGUAAUUCCAGCUCCAAUAGCGUAUAUUAAAGUUGUUGCAGUUAAAAAGCUCGUAGUUGAAUUUCGGGGUCAGUAGGUUGGUCGUGCCACAGGUAUGAACUGGUCUCACUGAUUCCUCCUUCCUGAUGAACCGUAAUGCCAUUAAUUGGGUGUUGCGGGGAGACUGGACUGUUACUUUGAAAAAAUUAGAGUGUUUAAAGCAGGCUAACGCUUGAAUACAUUAGCAUGGAAUAAUGAAAUAGGACGUUCGAUCCUAUUUUGUUGGUUUCUAGGAUUGACGUAAUGAUUAAUAGGGAUAGUUGGGGGCAUUAGUAUUCAAUUGUCAGAGGUGAAAUUCUUGGAUUUAUUGAAGACUAACUACUGCGAAAGCAUUUGCCAAGGAUGUUUUCAUUAAUCAAGAACGAAAGUUAGGGGAUCGAAGACGAUCAGAUACCGUCGUAGUCUUAACCAUAAACUAUGCCGACUAGGAUCGGAUGAUGUUAAUUUUUUAAUGACUCAUUCGCGCCUUAA